rnacentral:rRNA from 1 species
GACGAACGCUGGCGGCGUGCUUAACACAUGCAAGUCGAACGAAGUGGCGAACGGGUGAGUAAUACGUGGGUAACCUGCCCUCCUUUUUGGGAUAAGCCUUGGAAACGGGGUCUAAUACCGAAUAAAGGGGGAUGGGCUCGCGGCCUAUCAGCUUGUUGGUGGGGUGAGGGCCUACCAAGGCGGUGACGGGUAGCCGGCCUGAGAGGGUGACCGGCUAAAUUGGGACUGAGAGACGGCCCAGAGGCCUACGGGAGGCAGCAGUGGGGAAGCUUCCGCAAUGGACGAAAGUCUGACGGAGCAACGCCGCGUGAGUGAUGACGGCCUUCGGGUUGUAAAGCUCUGUUAAUCGGGACGCGGUACCGGAAUAGAAAGCCACGGCUAACUACGUGCCAGCAGCCGCGGUAAUAC